rnacentral:rRNA from 1 species
GACGUAGGGCGCGAGCGUUGUCCGGAUUUAUUGGGCGUAAAGAGCUCGUAGGCGGCUUGUCGCGUCGAAUGUGAAAACUCGGGGCUCAACUCCGAGCUUGCAUUCGAUACGGGCAGGCUAGAGUUCGGUAGGGGAGACUGGAAUUCCUGGUGUAGCGGUGAAAUGCGCAGAUAUCAGGAAGAACACCCGUGGCGAAAGCGGCUCUCUGGAACGGUACUGACGCUGAGACGCGAAAGCGUGGGGAGCGAACAGG